rnacentral:rRNA from 1 species
GAUGAACGCUGGCGGCGUGCCUAAUACAUGCAAGUCGAGCGAACGGACGAGAAGCUUGCUUCUCUGAUGUUAGCGGCGGACGGGUGAGUAACACGUGGAUAACCUACCUAUAAGACUGGGAUAACUUCGGGAAACCGGAGCUAAUACCGGAUAAUAUUUUGAACCGCAUGGUUCAAAAGUGAAAGACGGUCUUGCUGUCACUUAUAGAUGGAUCCGCGCUGCAUUAGCUAGUUGGUAAGGUAACGGCUUACCAAGGCAACGAUGCAUAGCCGACCUGAGAGGAUGAUCGGCCACACUGGAACUGAGACACGGUCCAGACUCCUACGGGAGGCAGCAGUAGGGAAUCUUCCGCAAUGGGCGAAAGCCUGACGGAGCAACGCCGCGUGAGUGAUGAAGGUCUUCGGAUCGUAAAACUCUGUUAUUAGGGAAGAACAUAUGUGUAAGUAACUGUGCACAUCUUGACGGUACCUAAUCAGAAAGCCACGGCUAACUACGUGCCAGCAGCCGCGGUAAUACGUAGGUGGCAAGCGUUAUCCGGAAUUAUUGGGCGUAAAGCGCGCGUAGGCGGUUUUUUAAGUCUGAUGUGAAAGCCCACGGCUCAACCGUGGAGGGUCAUUGGAAACUGGAAAACUUGAGUGCAGAAGAGGAAAGUGGAAUUCCAUGUGUAGCGGUGAAAUGCGCAGAGAUAUGGAGGAACACCAGUGGCGAAGGCGACUUUCUGGUCUGUAACUGACGCUGAUGUGCGAAAGCGUGGGGAUCAAACAGGAUUAGAUACCCUGGUAGUCCACGCCGUAAACGAUGAGUGCUAAGUGUUAGGGGGUUUCCGCCCCUUAGUGCUGCAGCUAACGCAUUAAGCACUCCGCCUGGGGAGUACGACCGCAAGGUUGAAACUCAAAGGAAUUGACGGGGACCCGCACAAGCGGUGGAGCAUGUGGUUUAAUUCGAAGCAACGCGAAGAACCUUACCAAAUCUUGACAUCCUUUGACAACUCUAGAGAUAGAGCCUUCCCCUUCGGGGGACAAAGUGACAGGUGGUGCAUGGUUGUCGUCAGCUCGUGUCGUGAGAUGUUGGGUUAAGUCCCGCAACGAGCGCAACCCUUAAGCUUAGUUGCCAUCAUUAAGUUGGGCACUCUAAGUUGACUGCCGGUGACAAACCGGAGGAAGGUGGGGAUGACGUCAAAUCAUCAUGCCCCUUAUGAUUUGGGCUACACACGUGCUACAAUGGACAAUACAAAGGGCAGCGAAACCGCGAGGUCAAGCAAAUCCCAUAAAGUUGUUCUCAGUUCGGAUUGUAGUCUGCAACUCGACUACAUGAAGCUGGAAUCGCUAGUAAUCGUAGAUCAGCAUGCUACGGUGAAUACGUUCCCGGGUCU